rnacentral:rRNA from 1 species
AACGAACGCUGGCGGCGUGCCUAACACAUGCAAGUCGAACGAGAAAGGGGCUUCGGCUCCGAGUAAAGUGGCGCACGGGUGAGUAACACGUGGGUAACCUGCCUCUAAGAUUGGGAUAACUCGUCGAACGAUGAGCUAAUACCGAAUAAGACCACAGUUCCCGCGGGAACAGGGGUCAAAGGUAGCCUCUGCUUGCAAGCUAUCACUUAGAGAUGGGCCUGCGCACCAUUAGCUAGUUGGUAGGGUAACGGCCUACCAAGGCAAAGAUGGUUAGCUGGUCUGAGAGGAUGAUCAGCCACACUGGAACUGAGACACGGUCCAGACUCCUACGGGAGGCAGCAGUGGGGAAUAUUGCGCAAUGGGCGAAAGCUUGACGCAGCAACGCCGCGUGAGUGAUGAAGGCCUUCGGGUCGUAAAGCUCUGUCGGGAGGAACGAAUGCUCCUGAGGUUAACAGCCUCGGGAGGUGACGGUACCUUCAAAGGAAGCACCGGCUAACUCUGUG